UACAGAGGGUGCGAGCGUUGUCCGGAAUCACUGGGCGUAAAGGGCGCGUAGGUGGCGACCCAAGUCGAUGGUGAAAGCUCGCCGCUCAACGGCGAGUCGGCCACCGAUACUGGGUUGCUGGAGCACUGUAGAGGCAGAUGGAAUUCCGGGUGUAGCGGUGGAAUGCGUAGAGAUCCGGAAGAACACCGGUGGCGAAGGCGGUCUGCUGGGCUGUUGCUGACGCUGAGGCGCGACAGCGUGGGGGAGCAAACAGGAUUAGAGU
rnacentral:rRNA from 1 species